rnacentral:rRNA from 1 species
AGUGAGGCGCGCUACCAUGCAGUCGAGCGAACCUUCGGGUUAGCGGCGGACGGGUGAGUAACGCGUGGGAACGUACCCUCUUCUGCGGGAUAGCCACUGGAAACGGUGAGUAAUACCGCAUACGCCCUUCGGGGGAAAGAUUUAUCGGAGGAGGAUCGGCCCGCGUUGGAUUAGGUAGUUGGUGGGGUAAUGGCCUACCAAGCCUACGAUCCAUAGCUGGUUUUAGAGGAUGAUCAGCCACACUGGGACUGAGACACGGCCCAGACUCCUACGGGAGGCAGCAGUGGGGAAUCUUAGACAAUGGGCGCAAGCCUGAUCUAGCCAUGCCGCGUGAGUGACGAAGGCCUUAGGGUCGUAAAGCUCUUUCGCCAGAGAUGAUAAUGACAGUAUCUGGUAAAGAAACCCCGGCUAACUCCGUGCCAGCAGCCGCGGUAAUACGGAGGGGGUUAGCGUUGUUCGGAAUUACUGGGCGUAAAGCGCACGUAGGCGGAUUGGAAAGUUGGGGGUGAAAUCCCAGGGCUCAACCCUGGAACUGCCUCCAAAACUCCCAGUCUGGAGUUCGAGAGAGGUGAGUGGAAUUCCGAGUGUAGAGGUGAAAUUCGUAGAUAUUCGGAGGAACACCAGUGGCGAAGGCGGCUCACUGGCUCGAUACUGACGCUG